AUGAAGUUAACAGAGAUUUGGCUCCAAACUGGCCUCCUGAUGCAGAUAUCAUACAGCAGUGAUUCGAGAACAUGCAUCUCUGGACCCUUGGGGCCUGUAUUUAUAUCCUGGCCUCUAGUUACUAGCCGUGCUAACUUGAUGUUGAAGCAGUAUUGA
rnacentral:lncRNA from 1 species